UGUCUCAAAUAUCAGAACUUGAUGCAUCGGCUAUCAAUUUUCAUAUUGACAUCUUCUGUGUAAAGGAACAUUGUC